rnacentral:lncRNA from 1 species
UUUCCCAGAAAGCACUGCCAGUGACGACGCCUCAUUCUCAGUCCCUGGACCGCUCUCAGUCGGUUGCCAUGGAAAUUGUCACUAACGAGGAAUGGGGGAGGGCCGGAAAUGUCGGAGCAGGGGCCCGGGCCACCCGAGGGGGACUUCCGCUUCCUCGUUGUCCUCUUUUCCUCGCCUGCUCUGCCUCUGAGGACCCUGCUCUUCCCCAAGAGGGAAGCAUUCAGGAGAGAAUGGUCCCUGUGAUCCCAACAGCCAGGUGCCAGGCCAAGAAAGACGUCCUACUCACGUAGCCGACCAGCCACCAUGAAGCCCUCCAAGAUUGAACCUGCCUUGACCUCCGACUCAUCGACAAGCAGUAAAAAAGGGGCAAAGAGGGAGCGUACCAUGUUCAAUGAAGUUCAGCUGGAUAUUCUCCUGGGGGAGUUUCAUAAGAACCCAUACCCUAACUACUCCGUCAGAAGUGAGCUUGCUAACCGCCUGGAUGUUCCCGAGUCUAGAAUACAGGUAAGUUAAAGGUUCACGCCUCCUCCCGUGCAUUUUCCUGGCAGUGCACUAAGCUACAAGGCUAACCGUCAGCAUCAACAAACAUUUACUCAGCACUUGGCACACUUAGCACAACGCCUGGCACACAGUAGGCGCUUAAUAAAUGCAAG